AGGUUGUACUCUGUACAUAUUUAAAGAUUGUACACGUUUUCCAAACAAUGCCGCCUACAUAAGAUCUUCUAUUCCUAUACAGAUUGUAACGUUCCGCGAUUGCCAAGAAAGUUUUUAUUGUGUCCCAGGAAUACAAUUCCACAAUGUUUUUUUAACGAACCCUGUGAUUCAUUAGAUUUGGGUAUAAGCGACUCUGAGCCAUCGUGCCGCGAAGAACUCUUUCUCAUAUCUGAUUUAGAGUUUAAACUAGUAAUUUUACCCUAAAAUAGCAAACUAGUUAUACUGCCUUAAUGCAAACCUGCCUUUGAAAUUUCAUUGUCACUUCAUACAACUCCUUUUCUUUUUAUUAAUUAAAUUGUUACAUUUUUUUGUUAUUAUAGACUUGCAAUUUUAUUACAGUUUUUAUUUUGAAGAAGAAUGGAAGAAACACCAAGAAAAAUUAAACGUUUCAGUUGAAUUAUAAACAAUGAUAGUCCCAAUCAAAAGUGCAAUUGCGAAACUUUUGGUAAAAAGAUGGAAAAUGUGGAAAACUCUUAGAAAGUAAUUCGAGGUCAGAUCAAGGUUUUAGCUGAUGCAUUAGCUGAGUUGAAAGUAAUGGUGCAAAAAUUACUACGAACUCCAAGUGCAGAGAUACCAUUAUCGAAUAGGUUCCCCAUCACCACUGAGAAAGAUCUCAUUGAAAUUAAUAACAAAAUCUCAAGUGAGAAUAAAGAUAUAUAUGUAAGUAUUUUUACAUUUAUUUCUUAUUGAAGACAGGUUAUAUACAAAUAUUUUGUUAGUUUUUAAGUAAAGAUUAUAUCAUCCAUUGUAAAAAGAGAGGGAAUAUUGAAAUCAUUAAAAAAUAUUAUAGGUUCAAAUAUUACUCACGAAUAUAAUAUUGACGGAAAUCAUGGAAAAAAAGUCUGAUGUCCCUAAGAAAUAUAUAUAACGUUAUUUUAGAUUAAUUACCAGUUACAGAAAAUUCGGACACCCCAGAAAUACAACCGCGAAAAGCAAUACAAGUGCAAAAGAAAAGAUUUUUUAAACAAGUGAUUGCUGAGAGAAAAUCAAAACCGAAUGGCAGAAUAAUUAACAAAAUAUUAGCGUUAAUUUUUUUAUAAUAUUGAAUUUGUUUUUGUUUUUAUACAAAUGAUGUA